rnacentral:rRNA from 1 species
CUUCGCAAGAACGGGAAGAAUAAGUAAGAGCUAACAUCUCUUACGAUGACGGUACUGUUUGUAAGCUCCGGCUAACUCCGUGCCAGCAGCCGCGGUAAUACGGGGGGAGCAAGCGUUGUUCGGAUUUACUGGGCGUAAAGGGCGCGUAGGCGGCCACCGCAAGUCGACUGUGAAAUCUCCGGGCUUAACCCGGAAAGGUCAGCCGAUACUGCGGGGCUAGAGUGCAGAAGGGGCAACUGGAAUUCUCGGUGUAGCGGUGAAAUGCGUAGAUAUCGAGAGGAACACCUGCGGCGAAGGCGGGUUGCUGGGCUGACACUGACGCUGAGGCGCGAAAGCUAGGGGAGCGAACGGGAUUAGAUACCCCGGUAGUCCUAGCCUUAAACGAUGAAUGCUUGGUGUCUGGGGUUUUAUAGUCCCCGGGUGCCGUCGCUAACGCUUUAAGCAUUCCGCCUGGGGAGUACGGUCGCAAGACUGAAACUCAAAGGAAUUGACGGGGACCCGCACAAGCGGUGGAGCAUGUGGUUUAAUUCGACGCAACGCGAAGAACCUUACCUGGGCUAGAAUGCCUCUGACCGGCGUAGAGAUACGCCUUCCUGGGUAAAACCAGGCAGAGUGCAAGG